AAGAGUUUUAAGGGUAUAUGGUGGAUGCCUAGACAUUAAAAGACGAUGAAGGACGCAGCAGCCUGCGAUAAGCCUCGCUGAGGUGGCAAGCAACCUUUGACGCGGGGAUUUCCGAAUGGGGAAACCUAUCCCGAUGAAGUUGGGAUGUCCUUAGUUUGAAUCCAUAGAACUAAGAGACGAGUACCCGGGGAACUGAAACAUCUUAGUACCCGGAGGAAAAGAAAAAAAUAACAGUGCUUCGCUUUCGCUCCGCACUAAUCAAUAAACAGCUAUCAAUUAAAAAUUACGAAUUAAAAUUCGUAAUUGAUGAUUGUUAAUUUGUAAUUGAUUAGCGAAGCGUAAGCGUAGCGCUAUAUUCCGUUAGUAGUGGCGAGCGAAAGCGGAGGAGCCUAAACUUUGUAAACUAAACUUCUUGUUCCGAGCAAUCGGGAUGAUUAGGAAAGGACCCAGGUCCAUAUGUUUGCAGGGCGUUGCAAGACAUUUACGUUUACCCCCUGGAACGGGUAAGAUAGAGAAAAAAAAAUACAACUUUUCUAGCAGAGCGGUCUGGAAAGACCGGCCAAAGACGGUGAUAGCCCAGUACGCGAAAGAGGUUGCGACUCUAUGGUAAAUGUUCUUAAGUAAGGCGGGACUCGUGAAAUCCCGUCUGAAUCCGGAGCGACUAUGCUCCAAGGCUAAAUACUUUUAAUGAUCGAUAGUGAACAAGUACCGUGAGGGAAAGGUGAAAAGCAUCCCGGAGAGGGAGAUGAAAUAGUACCUGAAACCAUAUAUCUACAAGGAAUCGAAGCUUUGUACUUCUUUAAUGUUUACCAUUAAUUAUAAUUUAUUAUGAUUUAAAUGAAGUUGAUUAGGUACUUAGUUGAUUAGUUAAUUAGUUAGUGUAAAUUUAAUACCCCUAAGUAACUGAUUAACUAUGUACCUAAUUAACUAUGUCGAUUAUAGAUUAAUAUUAUUAUAUGCGAUACUAAUGAUAAACGAUUAAUGAGGUACAGAGCGACGGUGUGCCUAUUGAAGAAUGAGCCAACGAGUUUGUUCUAUGCGGCUGACAUAAGCUCCGUUUGGAGCAGAUGUGCAGUGAAAGCGAGGGUUAAUAGCCCGUAUCUUACUUAUAAGGAAGGAGAUCCUUUUAGUCUCCUGCCUUAUUUGUAAGAGUGUCGCAUGGACAAGACCCGAAGCCGGGUGAUCUAGCCAUGACCAGGUUGAAUGUCGUCGAAAGACGGCAGGAGGACCGAACCCACAAGCCGUGCAACACUUGGGGAUGAGUUGUGGUUAGCGGAGAAAUUCCAAUCGAACUCGGCGAUAGCUGGUUCUCCUCGAAAUAGCUUUUGGGCUAGCCUCGGAUGCUGACCGUAGGGGGUAGAGCACUGAUAAAGGGCGGGUCUUCGGAUACCGUCUUUUGCCAAACUCCGAAUCCCUGCGGGUGUAAUCCGGGAGUCAGACUAUGGGGGCUAAGCUCCAUUUAGUCAAAAGGGAAACAGCCCUGAUCACCAAUUAAGGUCCCUAAAUCUAUGCUAAGUGUGAAAGGUGGUGUCGCGACUGCGACAACUAGGAGG
rnacentral:rRNA from 1 species